UAACAGCCUGCCCACCCUGGA
rnacentral:sRNA from 1 species